rnacentral:rRNA from 1 species
ACGAACGCUGGCGGCGUGCCUAAUACAUGCAAGUCGAACGCUUCUUUUUCCACCGGAGCUUGCUCCACCGGAAAAAGAGGAGUGGCGAACGGGUGAGUAACACGUGGGUAACCUGCCCAUCAGAAGGGGAUAACACUUGGAAACAGGUGCUAAUACCGUAUAACAAUCGAAACCGCAUGGUUUUGAUUUGAAAGGCGCUUUCGGGUGUCGCUGAUGGAUGGACCCGCGGUGCAUUAGCUAGUUGGUGAGGUAACGGCUCACCAAGGCGACGAUGCAUAGCCGACCUGAGAGGGUGAUCGGCCACAUUGGGACUGAGACACGGCCCAAACUCCUACGGGAGGCAGCAGUAGGGAAUCUUCGGCAAUGGACGAAAGUCUGACCGAGCAACGCCGCGUGAGUGAAGAAGGUUUUCGGAUCGUAAAACUCUGUUGUUAGAGAAGAACAAGGAUGAGAGUAACUGUUCAUCCCUUGACGGUAUCUAACCAGAAAGCCACGGCUAACUACGUGCCAGCAGCCGCGGUAAUACGUAGGUGGCAAGCGUUGUCCGGAUUUAUUGGGCGUAAAGCGAGCGCAGGCGGUUUCUUAAGUCUGAUGUGAAAGCCCCCGGCUCAACCGGGGAGGGUCAUUGGAAACUGGGAGACUUGAGUGCAGAAGAGGAGAGUGGAAUUCCAUGUGUAGCGGUGAAAUGCGUAGAUAUAUGGAGGAACACCAGUGGCGAAGGCGGCUCUCUGGUCUGUAACUGACGCUGAGGCUCGAAAGCGUGGGGAGCAAACAGGAUUAGAUACCCUGGUAGUCCACGCCGUAAACGAUGAGUGCUAAGUGUUGGAGGGUUUCCGCCCUUCAGUGCUGCAGCUAACGCAUUAAGCACUCCGCCUGGGGAGUACGACCGCAAGGUUGAAACUCAAAGGAAUUGACGGGGGCCCGCACAAGCGGUGGAGCAUGUGGUUUAAUUCGAAGCAACGCGAAGAACCUUACCAGGGUUUGACAUCCUGCUAACGAAGUAGAGAUACAUUAGGUGCCCUUCGGGGAAAGUAGAGACAGGUGGUGCAUGGUUGUCGUCAGCUCGUGUCGUGAGAUGUUGGGUUAAGUCCCGCAACGAGCGCAACCCUUAUUGUUAGUUGCCAUCAUUUAGUUGGGCACUCUAGCAAGACUGCCGGUGACAAACCGGAGGAAGGUGGGGAUGACGUCAAAUCAUCAUGCCCCUUAUGACCUGGGCUACACACGUGCUACAAUGGGAAGUACAACGAGUCGCAAAGUCGCGAGGCUAAGCUAAUCUCUUAAAGCUUCUCUCAGUUCGGAUUGUAGGCUGCAACUCGCCUACAUGAAGCCGGAAUCGCUAGUAAUCGCGGAUCAGCACGCCGCGGUGAAUACGUUCCCGGGCCUUGUACACACCGCCCGUCACACCACGAGAGUUUGUAACACCCGAAGUCGGUGAGGUAACCUUUUGGAGCCAGCCGCCUAAGGUGGGAUAGAUGAUUGGGGUG